rnacentral:piRNA from 1 species
UGCCUCUUCAGGGUUUGUGUCUAUUGCUU